CUCGGCAGAUAUGUGGGCAAUGGGUGCUAGAAUGGCUGAGUUGUUUAGUCUUCGUCCUCUGUUUCCGGGUUCAAGUGAAGCAGACGAGAUCUACAAAAUAUGCAGUGUUAUAGGGACCCCAACCAAGAGGGACUGGGCUCAGGGACAUGAACUUGCUAGUUCCAUCUGCCAGUGAAAAUGCUAUUAGUCUAAUCACGUCUCUUUGUUCAUGGGAUCCUCGUAAGAGGCCGACGGCAAUCGAUGCUCUUCAGCAUCCUUUUUUCUAGAGUUGCUUUUAUGUACCUCCAUCACUACGCACCAAGGCUGCUGUUGCUAAGACCCCUCCUUCUGCUGUCCUGCGGGGUGCAGUGGAGCAGAAGUACAAGUGGUCAUCUGGGUUGUCGCACAAUCCCAAACCUAGCAGCAACUUCUCAACUGUCAAGUCACAGCUGCCGUUUAACGCAGGUGUACAAAGGAAGCUGGAUAUGAAUUAUCAGG